rnacentral:rRNA from 1 species
UACGAAGGGGGCUAGCGUUGCUCGGAAUCACUGGGCGUAAAGCGCACGUAGGCGGAUUGCUAAGUCAGGGGUGAAAUCCUGGAGCUCAACUCCAGAACUGCCUUCGAUACUGAGAGUCUUCGAGUUCGGGAGAGGUGAGUGGAACUGCGAGUGUAGAGGUGAAAUUCGUAGAUAUUCGCAAGAACACCAGUGGCGAAGGCGGCUCACUGGCCCGAUACUGACGCUGAGGUGCGAAAGCGUGGGGAGCAAACAGG